AUACGAGGGGUGCAAGCGUUAAUCGGAAUUACUGGGCGUAAAGCGUUCGUAGGCGGUUUGUUAAGCAAGAUGUGAAAGCCCUGGGCUCAACCUGGGAACUGCAUUUUGAACUGGCAAACUAGAAUACUGUAGAGGGUGGUGGAAUUUCCAGUGUAGCGGUGAAAUGCGUAGAGAUUGGAAGGAACAUCAGUGGCGAAGGCGGCCACCUGGACAGAUAUUGACGCUGAGGAACGAAAGCGUGGGGAGCGAACAGGAUUAGAAACCCUAGUAGUCC
rnacentral:rRNA from 1 species